rnacentral:misc_RNA from 1 species
CCAAUAGCGUAUAUUAAAGUUGUUGCAGUUAAAAAGCUCGUAGUUGAAUUUCGGGGUUAGUAAGUUGGUCGUGCCACUGGUAUGUACUGGCUUUACUGAUUCCUCCUUCUUGUAGAACCGUAAUGCCAUUAAGUUGGUGUUGCGGGGAAACAGGACUGUUACUUUGAAAAAAUUAGUGUUUAAAGCAAGCUAACGCUUGAAUACAUUAGCAUGGAAUAAUGAAAUAGGACGUUCGAUCCUAUUUUGUUGGUUUCUAGGAUUGACGUAAUGAUUAAUAGGGAUAGUUGGGGGCAUUAGUAUUCAAUUGUCAGAGGUGAAAUUCUUGGAUUUAUUGAAGACUAACUACUGCGAAAGCAUUUGCCAAGGAUGUUUUCAUUAAUCAAGAACGAAAGUUAGGGGAUCGAAGACGAUCAGAUACCGUCGUAGUCUUAACCAUAAACUAUGCCGACUAGGGAUCGGAUGAUGUUAAUUUUAUAAUGACUCAUUCGGCGCCUUACG